UACAGAGGUGGCAAGCGUUGUUCGGAAUUACUGGGCGUAAAGGGCGCGUAGGCGGCCCUCUAAGUCCCGUGUGAAAGCCCCCGGCUCAACCGGGGAACUGCACGGGAAACUGGAAGGCUUGAGUUCGGGAGAGGGAAGCGGAAUUCCGGGUGUAGCGGUGAAAUGCGUAGAUAUCUGCAGGAACACCCGUGGCGAAAGCGGCGCGCUGGACCACUACUGACGCUGAGGAACGAAAGCUAGGGGAGCAAACAGG
rnacentral:rRNA from 1 species